CGGCACCGGGGGCGAACAGCCGAAACUACCCCGGGAUGCGGUAUUGCUCCCGGAGCCGAUCGAUGUUCGGCCCCAAAAGUGAAGAAACCUCCACCUCCGGGGUCGAUCGAGUGUCGUCAGUCGGCUCUCCCGACCGACCACCUCGUGGAGACGUCCCAGCCAUGGACUCAAACGAAUGGCAGGGAAGAAGAAGAAGGAGAUGGGG
rnacentral:lncRNA from 1 species